rnacentral:rRNA from 1 species
UACGGAGGGUGCAAGCGUUGCUCGGAAUUAUUGGGCGUAAAGGGUAGGUAGGUGGUCUUAUUUGUCUGGGGUGAAAGCCUUGAGCUUAACUCAAGAAGUGCCCCAGAAACGGUGAGACUGGAGUCCUGGAGAGGAUCGUGGAAUUCCCGGUGUAGCGGUGAAAUGCGUAGAGAUCGGGAGGAACACCAGAGGCGAAAGCGGCGACCUGGACAGGCACUGACACUCAACUACGAAAGCGUGGGGAGCAAACAGG